UGUUAUCGAAUGACCUGUGCUAAAUACCAAGGAGGUGGGAGGUUGCAGCAAAAAGCACCAUGCCUAUUUUGCAAAAGUCUCCCAAGCUCCGCGCCAACAAGACCCCCACUGCGACAAAAGAGAGCAAACGGACGAGUCGGUCUCUGUCUUGCUUUUUUUGUUUUCCCAAACAGAAAUUCAAGUGGAGAUCAAACAGGAACCGAACACAACUCCUAUUGGAAGGAAUAUUUCAUCACCAGAACGGUGAAAUAACGUACUAAAUUAUGCACUUCUGCAAAUGAAACCAUCCAUCUCGGAGGAGCUGGGUCCCUUCCAUCGCGGCCUUUGGACCGAGGCCUCCACAUCGACCCCUCUGGAACAUCCCAGCCUGCGAUUGCAAUGCACCACGUCCUCCCUCCACCUGUCUCCAAAUGGCUGAUGGUCUUCUGAGUCCUCUUCAAGAUAGAGGGUAUUACAAGGAGAAGAUUCAUAGCCUGGGAAUUUGGAGAGAGCAAAACUAACCACACGAUGCACUUCUGCACCGUGCUGUGAGUCCAGCCCCUUCCCCUAGCCUCAGGGAAGGGUUGAGGGCAUUUUCUAUGUGAGUCAGGAUUGUACGUGCUCAGGAGUGCCAGACAAACUCAGGGAACCAACAGGCAGACGAGGAGCAGCAGCGUGAUGGAGAAGCCCACAGGGUUUGAAGCAGAUACACCGACCCCUCAAAGCACCCAAAACCGGUACCGGGCAUGUGGGGGUGCACAAGUCAGGUCAUGGCAGGAGAAUAGUACAGGUGAUUUCCAGGUGCUGCUGUUGUGGGCAGAGUGGGAGGGGUGCGGAGAAGAGGAGGCUGAAGGCAAGGCACUGAAAUACCAGCCCAGCAAGGCAGAGCAUGUGAAUCGCAAGACACAACACUGCUUUGCACUGGCUUAACUCUUCCCAUCUGCAGACCCCGAGCUUUGAUCAGGGUGGAAGUGGACAAUCUGAGACCUGCUGGGCCAAACGGUGCCCUGGGGCGAGCAUGAAGGCAGAGGCUGCAUGGAAGAUUGCAUUAAGACUGUCGCCCCUUUAGGCC